AUUGAACGCUGGCGGCAUGCCUUACACAUGCAAGUCGAACGGCAGCACGGGAGCUUGCUCCUGGUGGCGAGUGGCGAACGGGUGAGUAAUACAUCGGAACGUACCCAGUAGUGGGGGAUAACGCCCCGAAAGGUGCGCUAAUACCGCAUACGACCUACGGGUGAAAGCGGUGGACCGUAAGGCCUCGCGCUAUUGGAGCGGCCGAUGUCUUAUUAGGUAGUUGGUGAGGUAAAGGCUCACCAAGGCUUCGAUCGGUAGCUGGUCGGAGAGGACGAUCGGCCACACUGGGACUAAGACACGGCCCAGACUCCUACGGGAGGCGGAAGUGGGGAAUUUUGGAAAAUGGGCGAAAGCCUGAUCCAGCAAUGCCGCGUGUGCGAAGAAGGCCUUCGGGUUGUAAAGCACUUUUGUCAGGGAAGAAAUCUUUUAGGCUAAUACCCUGGAAGGAUGACGGUACCUGAAGAAUAAGCACCGGCUAACUACGUGCCAGCAGCCGCCGUAA
rnacentral:rRNA from 1 species